AGCGAACGCUGGCGGCAGGCCUAACGCAUGCAAGUCGAGCGCCCGUAGCAAUACGGGAGCGGCAGACGGGUGAGUAACACGUGGGAACGUACCCUUCGGUUCGGAAUAACCCAGGGAAACUUGGAUUAAUACCGGAUACGUCCGUAAGGAGAAAGAUUUAUCGCCGAAGGAUCGGCCCGCGUCCGAUUAGCUUGUUGGUGGGGUAAUGGCCCACCAAGGCUACGGUCGGUAGCUGGUCUGAGAGGAUGAUCAGCCACACUGGGACUGAGACACGGCCCAGACUCCUACGGGGGGCAGCAGUGGGGAAUAUUGGACAAUGGGCGCAAGCCUGAUCCAGCCAUGCCGCGUGGGUGAUGAAGGCCCUAGGGUUGUAAAGCCCUUUCGGCGGGGAAGAUAAUGACGGUACCCGCAGAAGAAGCCCCGGCUAACUUCGUGCCAGCCGCCGCAGUAAAAC
rnacentral:rRNA from 1 species